rnacentral:rRNA from 1 species
GAUGAACGCUGGCGGCGUGCCUAAUACAUGCAAGUCGAGCGAACGGACGAGAAGCUUGCUUCUCUGAUGUUAGCGGCGGACGGGUGAGUAACACGUGGAUAACCUACCUAUAAGACUGGGAUAACUUCGGGAAACCGGAGCUAAUACCGGAUAAUAUUUUGAACCGCAUGGUUCAAAAGUGAAAGACGGUCUUGCUGUCACUUAUAGAUGGAUCCGCGCUGCAUUAGCUAGUUGGUAAGGUAACGGCUUACCAAGGCAACGAUGCAUAGCCGACCUGAGAGGGUGAUCGGCCACACUGGAACUUGGACACGGUCCAGACUCCUACGGGAGGCCGCAGUAGGGAAUCUUCCGCAAUGGGCGAAAGCCUGACGGAGCAACGCCGCGUGAGUGAUGAAGGUCUUCGGAUCGUAAAACUCUGUUAUUAGGGAAGAACAUAUGUGUAAGUAACUGUGCACAUCUUGACGGUACCUAAUCAGAAAGCCACGGCUAACUACGUG